rnacentral:tRNA from 2 species
GCCGGUGUGGCGCAAUUGGCAGCGCGUAUGACUUCUAUCGGAGACCCCCUGAUGGGGGAUUGUUCCACAGGAUGCUUAUCAUAAGGUCGCGAGUUCGACCCUCGCCAUCGGUU